ACUCCUACGGGAGGCAGCAGUGGGGAAUAUUGCACAAUGGGGGAAACCCUGAUGCAGCCAUGCCGCGUGUGUGAAGAAGGCCUUCGGUUGUAAAGCACUUUCAGUAGGGAGGAAGGUAGUGUAGUUAACACCUGCAUUAUUUGACGUUACCUACAGAAGAAGCACCGGCUAACUCCGUGCCAGCAGCCGCGGUAAUACGGAGGGGUGCGAGCGUUAAUCGGAAUUACUGGGCGUAAAGCGCAUGCAGGCGGCCUGUUAAGUCAGAUGUGAAAGCCCGGGGGCUUAACCUCGGAAUUGCAUUUGAAACUGGCAGGCUAGAGUCUUGUAGAGGGGGUAGAAGUUUCAGGUGUAGCGGUGAAAGUGCGUAGAGAUCUGAAGGAAUACC
rnacentral:rRNA from 1 species